rnacentral:rRNA from 1 species
GUUGAACGCUGGCGGCAGGCCUAACACAUGCAAGUCGAACGGUAACAGGGAUCAGCUUGCUGAUUCGCUGACGAGUGGCGGACGGGUGAGUAAUGCCUGGGAAACUGCCUGAUGGAGGGGGAUAACUACUGGAAACGGUAGCUAAUACCGCAUAACGUCGCAAGACCAAAGAGGGGGACCUUCGGGCCUCUUGCCAUCGGAUGUGCCCAGAUGGGAUUAGCUAGUAGGUGGGGUAACGGCUCACCUAGGCGACGAUCCCUAGCUGGUCUGAGAGGAUGACCAGCCACACUGGAACUGAGACACGGUCCAGACUCCUACGGGAGGCAGCAGUGGGGAAUAUUGCACAAUGGGCGCAAGCCUGAUGCAGCCAUGCCGCGUGUAUGAAGAAGGCCUUCGGGUUGUAAAGUACUUUCAGCGGGGAGGAAGGGAGUAAAGUUAAUACCUUUGCUCAUUGACGUUACCCGCAGAAGAAGCACCGGCUAACUCCGUG